CCUUUGACGUUAGCGGCGGACGGGUGAGUAACACGUGGGUAACCUACCUAUAAGACUGGGAUAACUUCGGGAAACCGGAGCUAAUACCGGAUAAUAUUUCGAACCGCAUGGUUCGAUAGUGAAAGGUGGUUUUGCUAUCACUUAUAGAUGGACCUGCGCCGUAUUAGCUAGUUGGUAAGGUAACGGCUUACCAAGGCGACGAUACGUAGCCGACCUGAGAGGGUGAUCGGCCACACUGGAACUGAGACACGGUCCAGACUCCUACGGGAGGCAGCAGGG
rnacentral:rRNA from 1 species